rnacentral:pre_miRNA from 1 species
UAAGUACUCCCUCCGAUCCUAAAUUCUUGUCUCAAAUUUACCCAAAUAUGGAUGUAUCUAUUCUUAAAAAGCGUCCACAUACAUGUAAUAUUUCGACAACAAUUUAGGAUCGGAGGGAGUGUAUA